UACGUAGGGUGCAAGCGUUAAUCGGAAUUACUGGGCGUAAAGCGUGCGCAGGCGGUUUUGUAAGUCUGACGUGAAAUCCCCGGGCUCCAACCUGGGAAUUGCGUUGAAGACUGCAAGGCUGGAGUCUGGCAGAGGGGGGGUAGAAUUCCACGUGUAGCAGUGAAAUGCGUAGAGAUGUGGAGGAACACCGAUGGCGAAGGCAGCCCCCUGGGUCAAGACUGACGCUCAUGCACGAAAGCGUGGGGAGCAAACAGG
rnacentral:rRNA from 1 species